rnacentral:rRNA from 1 species
UACGUAGGGGGCAAGCGUUGUCCGGAUUUAUUGGGCGUAAAGAGCGUGUAGGCGGCUAGGUAGGUCCGUUGUGAAAACUCGAGGCUCAACCUCGAGACGCCGGUGGAAACCAUCUAGCUAGAGUCCGGAAGAGGAGAGUGGAAUUCCUGGUGUAGCGGUGAAAUGCGCAGAUAUCGGGAAGAACACCCGUGGCGAAGGCGGUUCUCUGGGACGGUACUGACGCUGAGACGCGAAAGCGUGGGGAGCGAACAGG